rnacentral:rRNA from 1 species
UGUGCCAUACCACCUUGAAUGUGCCCGAUCUCAUCUGAUCUCAGAAGCUAAGCAGGGUCGGGCCUACUUAGUACUUGGAUGGGAGAUUCACUAAUAAAAAAUUAAAAAAAAAACAUGC